GCCCAGGCAGAGACCGAGGGCUGUGAGGACUGCCAGCAUGCUGUCACCUCUCACUCUCUCUCAGUGCUGUGAGAGUAUGGGCUCCUCUCCCACUUGAGUGCUGGCUGCAGAACUUGGCUUGGCACCGCUGGGCUGUGCACCACAGCCCUAAGCUGGAGGACAGUACUACUGCAGCUGCAGUGAGAGAGGGGCUGUGCGUUGUCUACAGAAUUUCCUCCCCAGAGAAACUCAGAGCUGCCACCUACUGAAAUGUUCAGCUGGAAAAAAUGAGUCUGGGAAAGAAGAUGAGCACAAGAUUUCAGAAAGCUGUGAGAAAAUAACCAUGAUAUCAUCAUGCCUUUUCUGGAUUAAGG